AACGUAGAGUGAUAGAUACAUAAAUAAUUUUUCUGAAAGUUAACCAGAAAGUGUUAAUAGUUGGGCACAAAGAUCUGUUGGUGGUGGUAUGACAUGUUUUACUUUUCUUUUUCUACCUCUCUCUCUCUUUUUCUAUGUGGCUACAUUCCUAUUAUUUAAAUAAAAUAAAUUAAAAAGUUAAAAGCACACUGCCAUAUGUUGUAUGAUAGAGGUGGUGGGUUCAUGGGAUACAAAGGACAGGCAUCUGAACCAGGAUAGACAAGGGUAAUGUCAGAGAAGACUUCCUGUAUCAAAGGAUGCCUGGAUCAAAGGAUGCCUGGGCUUCAUUUCUAAGGGUAAGAAGUUGUUAGAUGAAGAUUGAGGUAUGGGUAAAGGAAUGGUAUUUGCAAAGGCAUGGAGAUGAGAGUGAAGGCCAGACAUGUUUAAGAAAUUGUUUUACAAAUGUUUUGUUGGAGUGCAGAGUAGUCAGCAAAUUAAAAAGUGGGAUAUGUAGGUGUCAAAUCACCUAAGGCCUUAAAUAGCCUCCUAAGGACUUUGGACUUUCUCCUAAAGCAAGGAGAAACAACUAAAUAAUUUUAAAUGAAAAAGUGACCUGACUAAAAUCCUUAAAACCUUACUGAAUAAAUGCGAAGUUGCUCAAUAAUCCAAGUAUGUUAGAAGUCUCGCUGUAUGCACAACAUCGCAGAAGGGCCAUCCUGGGUCAGCUAACCUGGGAUGCAAAAAGUAUAACUCCAUUCCUUGGAAACAGCUUUAAAGAUGUGAGUUCUUCACAUAAUAUUUG
rnacentral:lncRNA from 10 species